rnacentral:rRNA from 1 species
GACGUAGGUGGCAAGCGUUGUCCGGAUUUAUUGGGUUUAAAGGGUGCGUAGGCGGCUUUGUAAGUCAGUGGUGAAAUACUCUAGCUUAACUAGAGGGGUGCCAUUGAUACUGCGGAGCUUGAGUACAGAUGAGGUAGGCGGAAUUGACGGUGUAGCGGUGAAAUGCAUAGAUAUCGUCAAGAACACCGAUAGCGAAGGCAGCUUACUGGGCUGUAACUGACGCUGAUGCACGAAAGUGUGGGGAUCAAACAGG